AAGACAUUGUAGUCAAGAGGGACUGUACUUUGAAGUCUGUUUGUCUGUCUCAGUGAGGACAGGAAUACUUUAAUCUAGGAGUACUUGAACAUCAACAGUGAGGAAGCUGAGAGAGAGAUCGCGUAGACCACCAUGGGGCUUUAUGUGAUCCGAAAAAGAUGGUGCUGAUGAAGAGGAAAAGCCAGAGGAUGUUGGAGUGGUGAUUGAGGGUGUGGAACUGCUAUGCAACCUGGGAAGUAUUUUCUUUGGAUGUGUUACACUUUUUGUAUUGAUCUACACACUCAACUCGAGCUAUCCCCAGGAACACAAGUUCACAUUUGAGUUCUUCCAGAAAGUGUUGAUGACCUUGGAUGGUCACAAACUGUCCCCAAAGAUCCAAACACUUAAAAUAAAGAUGCUUCAGUGAGCUGAUAAGUUAAUGUGAUGGACAUUUGAACCUGCCACAGUUUGGCUUGUUGGACAUUGCCAGUUGGAUCUUCUAUUGCCACUUUGACUUUAUUUAAUUUUAAUUAACAGUGGCAUCAGUACAGUGCAGACACUUUUAAAUGUUGCUGUAAUUUUGAAGUUGUUACUGGCAAUAAAGUUUUCACAACUA